rnacentral:rRNA from 1 species
AGAGUUUGAUCAUGGCUCAGAGCGAACGCUGGCGGCAGGCUUAACACAUGCAAGUCGAGCGGGCGUAGCAAUGCGUCAGCGGCAGACGGGUGAGUAACGCGUGGGAACGUACCUUUUGGUUCGGAACAACACAGGGAAACUUGUGCUAAUACCGGAUAAGCCCUUACGGGGAAAGAUUUAUCGCCGAAAGAUCGGCCCGCGUCUGAUUAGCUAGUUGGUGAGGUAACGGCUCACCAAGGCGACGAUCAGUAGCUGGUCUGAGAGGAUGAUCAGCCACAUUGGGACUGAGACACGGCCCAAACUCCUACGGGAGGCAGCAGUGGGGAAUAUUGGACAAUGGGGGCAACCCUGAUCCAGCCAUGCCGCGUGAGUGAUGAAGGCCCUAGGGUUGUAAAGCUCUUUUGUGCGGGAAGAUAAUGACGGUACCGCAAGAAUAAGCCCCGGCUAACUUCGUGCCAGCAGCCGCGGUAAUACGAAGGGGGCUAGCGUUGCUCGGAAUCACUGGGCGUAAAGGGUGCGUAGGCGGGUUUUUAAGUCAGGGGUGAAAUCCUGGAGCUCAACUCCAGAACUGCCUUUGAUACUGAAGAUCUCGAGUCCGGGAGAGGUGAGUGGAACUGCGAGUGUAGAGGUGAAAUUCGUAGAUAUUCGCAAGAACACCAGUGGCGAAGGCGGCUCACUGGCCCGGUACUGACGCUGAGGCACGAAAGCGUGGGGAGCAAACAGGAUUAGAUACCCUAGUAGUCC